rnacentral:rRNA from 1 species
CGUCUAUAUACGUAUAGCAUAUCAAUAAGCGGAGGAAAAGAAACUAACAAGGAUUCCCUUAGUAACGGCGAGUGAAGCGGGAAGAGCUCAAAUUUGAAAUCUUCAAGGUUCUACCUUGACGAAUUGUAGUUUAAAGAAGUGUUUUCUGUUAGAGGAGUAGCAAAAGUUCCUUGGAAUGGGACAUCAUAGAGGGUGAGAAUCCCGUAUUUGGUUAUUCUUUCUAGCUUUGUGAUACACUUUCAAAGAGUCGGAUUGUUUGGGAAUGCAGUCCAAAAUGGGUGGUAAAUUUCAUCUAAAGCUAAAUAUUGGCGAGAGACCGAUAGCGAACAAGUACCGUGAGGGAAAGAUGAAAAGAACUUUGAAAAGAGAGUUAAACAGUACGUGAAAUUGUCAAAAGGGAAGCGUUUGACACCAGUGUUGUUUUUCCGAAAAUCAAUUAAGAACGGCUUGAUUUUGUGUUGUAUUGACCUUAUCAGCUUUCUUCACUCUUUUUCGAGUCUUUCUUAAUGCACUUUUCGGUCAACAAGUCAACAUCAAUUUCUUUUGUUGUAAAAGGGUAUUUGGAAGGUGGCUUUCUUUUCGGAGAAAGUGUUUAUAGCCUUAUACCUCUACAAUCGGAGAGAUUGAGGUCUGCAGCGUAGAUCCUUCGGGGCUAGAUACACUUGUGCUAAGUUAUAGCUUUUCAUAGACAACUUGUUGACUAUGUUUAGUCAUGUAGCUUACCCGCCUGUGCUAUUUUACCUACGCUUAGGAUGUUGAGUCAUCACACAUCUCU